rnacentral:rRNA from 1 species
CGAGCGUUGUCCGGAAUUAUUGGGCGUAAAGGGCUCGUAGGUGGUUUGUCGCGUCGUCUGUGAAAUUCCGGGGCUUAACUCCGGGCGUGCAGGCGAUACGGGCAUAACUUGAGUGCUGUAGGGGAGACUGGAAUUCCUGGUGUAGCGGUGGAAUGCGCAGAUAUCAGGAGGAACACCGAUGGCGAAGGCAGAUCUCUGGGCCGUAACUGACGCUGAGGAGCGAAAGC